rnacentral:rRNA from 1 species
AACGUACGUUGGCGGCACGCCUAACACAUGCAAGUCGAACGAAGUAGCAAUACUUAGUGGCAGACGGGUGAGUAACAUGUAGGUAUCUGCCCUUUGGCCUGGAAUAACACGAGGAAACUUGUGCUAAUACCGGAUAAGUCUUUACGGAGAAAGCUUUAUGCACCAUUGGAUGAGCCUGCACUUGAUUAGUUUGUUGGUGGGGUAAUGGCCUACCAAGACUGUGAUCAAUAGCUGAUUUGAGAGGAUGAUCAGCCACAUUGGGACUGAGACACGGCCCAAACUCCUACGGGAGGCAGCAGUGGGGAAUCUUGCACAAUGGAGGAAACUCUGAUGCAGCGAUGCCGCGUGAGUGAAGAAGGCCCUUGGGUUGUAAAGCUCUUUCGUCGGGGAAGAAAAUGACUGUACCCGAAUAAGAAGGUCCGGCUAACUUCGUGCCAGCAGCCGCGGUAAUACGAAGGGACCUAGCGUAGUUCGGAAUUACUGGGCUUAAAGAGUUCGUAGGUGGUUGAAAAAGUUAGUGGUGAAAUCCCAGAGCUUAACUCUGGAACUGCCAUUAAAACUUUUCAGCUAGAGUAUGAUAGAGGAAAGCAGAAUUUCUAGUGUAGAGGUGAAAUUCGUAGAUAUUAGAAAGAAUACCAAUUGCGAAGGCAGCUUUCUGGAUCAUUACUGACACUGAGAACGA